AUUGCUUCUUGGCCUUUUGGCUAAGAUUAAGCAUAGUAUCUGUUCUUAUCAGUUUAAUGUUUGUUACGUCAUCUAUCCAAAGAAAAUACACUAAAUGGAUUUUUGGAGCAGGGAGGUGGAAUAGAAGCUUGCUCUGUUCAUUCCAUGCAUUGGCCCAGUAUUGCUGUACUUCUGGGAACAGUGCAAAAAGA